rnacentral:rRNA from 1 species
GACGAACGCUGGCGGCGUGCCUAAUACAUGCAAGUCGAGCGGAUCUUCAUUAGCUUGCUUUUGAAGAUCAGCGGCGGACGGGUGAGUAAAACGUGGGCAACCUGCCUGUAAGACUGGGAUAACUUCGGGAAACCGGAGCUAAUACCGGAUAAUCCUUCUCCUCCCAUGAGGAAAAGCUGAAAGGCGGUUUCGGCUGUCACUUACAGAUGGGCCCGCGGCGCAUUAGCUAGUUGGUGAGGUAACGGCUCACCAAGGCGACGAUGCGUAGCCGACCUGAGAGGGUGAUCGGCCACACUGGGACUGAGACACGGCCCAGACUCCUACGGGAGGCAGCAGUAGGGAAUCUUCCGCAAUGGACGAAAGUCUGACGGAGCAACGCCGCGUGAGCGAUGAAGGCCUUCGGGUCGUAAAGCUCUGUUGUCAGGGAAGAACAAGUACCGGAGUAACUGCCGGUACCUUGACGGUACCUGACCAGAAAGCCACGGCUAACUACGUGCCAGCCGCCGCCGUAACAC